rnacentral:rRNA from 2 species
GGCGAGUGAAGCGGCAACAGCUCAAAUUUGAAAUCUGGCCCCUCCCCCGGGGGGGCCCGAGUUGUAAUUUGCAGAGGAUGCUUCUGGCGAGGUGCCUUCCGAGUUCCCUGGAACGGGACGCCGCAGAGGGUGAGAGCCCCGUCUGGUCGGACAACCGAGCCUCUGUGAAGCUCCUUCGACGAGUCGAGUAGUUUGGGAAUGCUGCUCUAAAUGGGAGGUAUAUGUCUUCUAAAGCUAAAUACCGGCCAGAGACCGAUAGCGCACAAGUAGAGUGAUCGAAAGAUGAAAAGCACUUUGAAAAGAGGGUUAAACAGUACGUGAAAUUGUUGAAAGGGAAGCGCUCAUGACCAGACCUGGUCCCGGCGAAUCACCCGGCGUUCUCGCCGGUGCACUUCGACGGGCUUCCAGGCCAGCAUCAGUCCGCGCCGGGGGACAAAGGCGGCGGGAACGUGGCUCCCCAGGGAGUGUUAUAGCCCGCCGCGCAAUGCCCCGGGGGCGGACUGAGGCCCGCGCGUCACCGCAAGGAUGCUGGCGUAAUGGUCAUCAGCGACCCGUCUUGAAACACGGACCAAGGAGUCGUCCUCGUAUGCGAGUGUUGGGGCGUCAAACCCCCCGCGCGUAAUGAAAGUGAACGGCAGGUGAGAGCCCUCGCGGGCGCAUCAUCGACCGAUCCUGAUGUUCUCGGAUGGAUUUGAGUAGGAGCAUACGGGGCCGGACCCGAAAGAAGGUGAACUAUGCCUGUGUAGGGUGAAGCCAGAGGAAACUCUGGUGGAGGCUCGCAGCGGUUCUGACGUGCAAAUCGAUCGUCAAACAUGGGCAUGGGGGCGAAAGACUAAUCGAACCUUCUAGUA